rnacentral:rRNA from 1 species
GAUGAACGCUAGCUACAGGCUUAACACAUGCAAGUCGAGGGGAAACGACAUCGAAAGCUUGCUUUUGAUGGGCGUCGACCGGCGCACGGGUGAGUAACGCGUAUCCAACCUGCCCAUCACUUGGGAAUAACCUUGCGAAAGUAAGACUAAUACCCAAUGACAUCCCACGAAGACAUCUGAAUGGGAUUAAAGAUUUAUCGGUGAUGGAUGGGGAUGCGUCUGAUUAGCUUGUUGGCGGGGUAACGGCCCACCAAGGCAACGAUCAGUAGGGGUUCUGAGAGGAAGGUCCCCCACAUUGGAACUGAGACACGGUCCAAACUCCUACGGGAGGCAGCAGUGAGGAAUAUUGGUCAAUGGGCGAGAGCCUGAACCAGCCAAGUAGCGUGCAGGAUGACGGCCCUAUGGGUUGUAAACUGCUUUUAUAAGGGAAUAAAGUGGGUCUCGUGUGACUUUUUGCAUGUACCUUAUGAAUAAGGACCGGCUAAUUCCGUG